UUUAAGAAUAACUCUUUUCGACUUUCGGAAUUUAUUUGAAAUUUCUUUGAAAUUCCAAUAUAAUUAAAAGAUAUGCAUGAGACAAUACUUGUGUAAUCUCGUGUAGUUGCCAAUCUCUGGCUAAAGGCAGAGUCUCCAACGCCAUUUCCCAUUAGCCAUCAGUUGAAGAAGAAAGAAUUGAGAACAAGUGUCAUCUCGCCCAAUGCGAAACAGCAGUCUAUGGCACCGUACUGCUUUAUGUGCAAAAUCAUUUAAAGUCUCACAGAAUCCUCCACAGAUCCUCUUUUGUAGGCACAAGAGUACGACUACGACAACAGCUAUUAUGACGGUGAGAAGAUGGCGACAUCAAGGAGGGACAGCUUAAGG